GAACGCUGGCGGCAUGCUUAACACAUGCAAGUCGAACGAGAAAGUUUCCUUCGGGAAGCGAGUAGAGUGGCGCACGGGUGAGUAACACGUGGAUAAUCUGCCCUAGAGUCUGGGAUAACCUUCCGAAAGGGGGGCUAAUACAUGAUAAGCCCACGGAGUCUUCGGACUCAGUGGGAAAAGAUGACCUCUUCUAUGUUAUCGCUUUAGGAUGAGUCCGCGGCCCAUUAGCUAGUUGGUAGGGUAAUGGCCUACCAAGGCUACGAUGGGUAGCUGGUCUGAGAGGAUGAUCAGCCACACUGGAACUG
rnacentral:rRNA from 1 species